GAAUUAAUUUUCUCAAGUUUUUGUAACUAGAACGGAGUAAGGUUGGCACUCAUGAAAUGUCAUCAAUAUCAUAACGCCGUUGCCACAACUAAUAUCAACAAAUACAGAAACCAAGUGAACAACUGAACUCUGAACAAAUAUUUUGUUUCUUUAAACAAAAUAUUUGUUCAGAGUUUCAGAGUUGUUUCAGAUAUUCUAAAGUCGACAAAAUGCCGAAAAUAGUGGAAAAGCCGCAAAGAAAGAGUAUCAGGAAAUGUUAUGCAGAAUUGAGGGCAGCUCAUCUGCGAAGUAAUCCUGAUACUCUUUCAUCUACCAUUUUCCAGAUGGUAUCAAACAUUUUCGAUCUGAACGUUUCCACAAUCCGAAACAUUGUUAAUGAAGAGGACGACAAAGAAUUUCCUCCUAUUGGGAGACCCAAAAAGGUGGAAGAAAUUGAGAAGUUUAUUUUUAGAAAAGACCUGCAACGGCGAAUUUGGGAUUAUAAUUUGAAAAAUGAAUACUUUAGUGUUGACACUCUACUUAAUUAUGCAAAAAAUGAUUUGGAAUAUACCGGGGGACGGACAUCACUUUACAAAAUUUUAAAAUCGAUGGGUUACAAAUACAAAAGGGUGGAUGAACGCAAAAUUUUAUGUGAACAAAAGCAUGUCGUUGCAGCCAAAAUUACUUUCCUGCGAAAAUUUCUUCAAUAUAAAUCUUCAGAUGAAGAUAUCAGAUUCGUGUUCCUCGACGAAACUUGGAUUUACCAAAAUGGUUCUUCUGUUCGUCGAUGGACACACGAAUCUGAUAUAAAGAGCAACCCAUCCAAAAUUAAACAUGAAGGAAAACGUUUUACGGUUUUACACGCAGGAAGUAAUUGUGGAUUUUUAGAGGGGUGUAGUUUAAUUUUAAAUUCGGCAAACAAUGACAGAGACUAUCACAAUACAAUGACCAGUGAAUUAUUUCAUAAUUGGAUCAUUAAUCAACUGAUUCCUGCAUUAGCUAAGAUUCCUGGAAAAUGUGUGGUUGUAAUGGACAAUGCCCCUUAUCAUUCGGUGCAAUUGGACAAGCCACCCACAUUUUCCAGUAAGAAAAGUGAAAUGCAGGAUUGGUUGAUUAAAAACAAAAUUAAUUUCAGUCAAAAUUCAAAUAAAAAACAACUUUGGCAAUUAAUACUACCCUUUCGAAAUAGAAGUCAACGAAAAUAUUUAGUGGAUGACCUUUUGAAAGAGCAUGGGCAUGAUGUUCUUAGAUUACCCCCAUACCAUUGUCAGUAUAAUCCUAUUGAAAUGGCCUGGGCGUUCUCUAAGAACUUCUACAACAAGAACAUAAAUUCUCUUCCCUAUUCCAAAGAUAGGGUUUUGAAUUUAUGGACUUUGGCUCUUUCAAAAUGUACAUCGGAAAUGUGGAAAAAUUUUUGUAUGCAUUGUGAUAGGCUCAUAACUGACGACUGGGCUAAAUUUAUGGGUAAUCUCCCAAUAGCAGAUAUUCCUCCAUUCAUUAUUUCAUUGGGAGAAUCAGAUUCUUCUGAUGAUGAGUCUGAUUCAAUCGAUGACCUAAUGAAUGUGGAAUAAUAAUGUAGAGGAAAUUUUGAGGUUGUCCAUUCUGCUACAAAAGAUGAAAUGUUUGAGGUACCUACACCCUCAGUAUACAUCUGAAGCAAGUUUUGAAAAGUAAUUGAUCUCUCUGAAUAUCCAUCGGCCAGACUACUAGGCAGUUGUAAACGAGAAAUCCAAAAAUUUCAAUAGGAUCAUCAUUCAUUGAGAAUGUUGGAACUGAACGGAAUGAAAUAAAAUCUCGCAGUAAGGCAGAGGGAAUGGCAUUUUUACACUAUAUACAUUCAAGAAUGUUGGAACUGAAUGGAAUGAAAUAAAAUCUCGCAGUAAGGCAGAGGGAAUGGCAUUUUAACACUAUAUACAUUCAAGAAUGUUGGAACUGAACGGAAUGAAAUAAAAUCUCGCAGUAAGGCAGAGGGAAUGGCAUUUUAGUACUAUAUAUAUUCAAGAAUAUUUAAUAUUUUUGUAUAAACAAAAAGAUCUCUCUUCUCAUCUUCUUAAUCUCAAAAAGAAUUAUUGUACAUACAAGCAAAAUGUCAUUCAAUUUGCCCAAAAACAAUCUAUAAACUACUCGGAGGUAAACACAAGCUUGAAAUUUCCAAACAAACUGCUAUGUAUUCAUUUAUAUAUAUAUAAGAUGGUUUUCUGUUAGAGGGCUUGAGUGGCCCAGAUAAGUUGGGUUCAGGGUGUCUAGAUUAUUAAGGUUCAAAUAGUCAUUAUUCAAUACUUUAACAUCUCCAUAUGAAAUUUCUUGCUCAGGUGUAUCAGGCCAUAAUAUUGUGUGAUCAUCUGCCAACCACUGUUGAGUUGCUCAAUAAAAACAAAUAAAAAAAGAAACAAUCAAAUGUAUCUUGUAUAAAAAAGUUACUAGAGUGUUAAGGAUUUUCAAUAAAUGUCAUCGUUAAAUAAGUUCUAGAAGGUCAAUUUUACAUUUGACUUGUCCUAUACAUUGUGAAUGUCUUAAGGGAUCAAUAAAUAUUUUGUGUGAAA